UAAGGAAUCUUCCACAAUGGGCGAAAGCCUGAUGGAGCAACGCCGCGUGCAGGAUGAAGGCCCUCGGGUCGUAAACUGCUUUUAUAAGUGAGGAAUAUGACGGUAGCUUAUGAAUAAGGAUCGGCUAACUCCGUGCCAGCAGCCGCGGUCAUACGGAGGAUCCAAGCGUUAUUCGGAGUGACUGGGCGUAAAGAGUUGCGUAGGGGGUUUGUUAAGCAAAUAGUGAAAUCUUGUGGCUCAACCAUAAGGCUAUUAUUUGAACUGGCAGACUUGAGAAUAUGAGAGGUAGAUGGAAUUCCCAGUGUAGGAGUGAAAUCCGUAGAUAUUGGGAGGAACACCAAUGGCGUAGGCAGUCUACUGGCAUAUUUCUGACCCUGAGGCACGAAAGCGUGGGGAGCGAACCGGAUUAGAUACCCGCGUAGUCC
rnacentral:rRNA from 1 species